rnacentral:rRNA from 1 species
AUGGAAGUUGUUCUGUCUGCGGCUGCAGGCGACCUUGUUAGCAGAUUCUUCUCCUUUUUUAUCGGGAGGUAUUCAGAAGCACCAUGCUCGGAGGAGAAGCAUGCCGAGAGGUUGCAGCAACUCCUGCUAAGAGCUCAGAUGGUUGUCGAGGAGGCGGAUGGGAGGUACAUCACCAACUCUGGUAUGCUUCUGCAACUGAAGAUGCUAGCUAGGGCUAUGUACCAUGGUUAUCAUGCACUAGACACCUUCAAGUGCAACCAACUAAUCAGAGAGGGCACUAAGGAAGCGAUGAGUUCUGGCUCAUUUGCCUCAUAUCUUGCCACUCCCUUGAAGCGCCUCCGUGCAAAUGCUGGUGUAUCGAAUCACCAAGUUGAUAACAACUGUGACCUACAAGAUGCCUUGUUAAAUUUAGAGACCGUUGUUUCUAAUAUCACAGAGUUUGUCAUACUUUUGGGUGGGUAUGAACCCAUGUUUCGCAGACCCUAUGACACACUUUAUGUCGACAACUGUAUGUUCGGUCGUUGGACUGAGAAGCAACAAGUUAUCAACUUCUUGUUGCAGCGCAACCCUCGUGCUUCUCCAUCUGUACUUCCAAUCAUCGGUGGCUAUCUAGUCGGGAAGAAAACUCUGGUAGCACAUGUAUGGAAUGAUGAAAAGGUCUACUUCUCUUCAAUUUUGCACUUCAAUGGAGACAACUUCCAUAUGGUAGAAACAGAAAGGUGCACAGGGAGGGCAUUGGUCGUUGUUAAAUUUGUUUCAGAGGUCAAUGAUGAGGACUGGAAAUCAUUUUACCGGGCAGUGACAUCCAUAAGCACAGAAAGUAAGGUUAUAAUCAUUAGUAGGAUGGAAAGUUUGACUAGAUAUGGUACUGUGAAGCCAAUUCACCUAAGUAGAUUACCAGAGGAGGAGUACAGCUACCUCUUCAAGGCACUAGCAUUUGGCAGUGCCCACACCGAGGACCACCCAAAGCUGACACUGUUAGCAGGAGAGUUCAUCAAAUUGUUGGACGGGUCAUUUGUGGCAGCAUAUUCACUUACCAAUGGGUUGAGGACAAAUCUAAUCCUUCAGUUCUGGCUCUCCAUGUUGAAGAGAUACAAGAAUGUGACAAAGAACAACUUGUCAAUGUUUGGUGAGCAUCCAUCAGAACGUUUCAAAAAACGAUGUGCAGUAGACUUCACCAACUUUCUUCCCUCUCCCGCUGCUCCACUACACCUUAUGCCUCCUCGAACUGAAGCCAGGAAACUACCUAAGAUAAGGAUUGGAGAGAUCAUUGAGAAUCCCUCCCUUCGUCCUAAGGGUGACUUUGUAUUAGUGACAUGGGAAUCACAGAUACCGUUCAGUUACCAUGUCCCGUAUUGUGCUCAACAGCAGCCUAAAACAACCUUACGGAGGAAGCGUGAAGCUAUUAUUUCUCUCUAG